CCUACGGGUGGCUGCAGUAGGGAAUCUUCCACAAUGGGCGCAAGCCUGAUGGAGCAACACCGCGUGAGUGAAGAAGGGUUUCGGCUCGUACAGCUCUGUUGUUGGAGAAGAACGUUUGUGAGAGUAUAUGUUCACGCAUUGACGGUAUCCAUCCAGAAAGUCACGGCUAACUACGUGCCAGCAGCCGCGGUAAUACGUAGGUGGCAAGCGUUAUCCGGAUUUAUUGGGCGUAAAGCGAGCGCAGGCGGUUGCUUAGGUCUGAUGUGAAAGACUUCGGCUUAACCGAAGAAGUGCAUCGGAGACCGGGCGACUUGAGUGCAGAAGAGGACAGUGGAACUCCAUGUGUAGCGGUGGAAUGCGUAGAUAUAUGGAAGAACACCAGUGGCGAAGGCAGCUGUCUGGUCUGCAACUGACGCUGAGGCUCGAAAGCAUGGGUAGCGAACAGGAUUAGAUACCCUGGUAGUC
rnacentral:rRNA from 1 species